rnacentral:lncRNA from 1 species
CGCAUCCACUUUUAAACACGGCACUUGCAACUUAGCUCACAUCUAACCAGUUAGACAGCUCACUAAAAUGCUAAUUAGGCAAAAACAGGAGGUAAAGAAAUAGCCAAUCAUCUAUUGCCUGAGAGCACAGCAUGAGGGACAAGGAUCAGGAUAUAAACCCAGGCAUUCAAGCCUGCAACGGCAACCCCCUUUGGGUCUCCUCCCUUUGUAUGGGAGCUCUGUUUUCACUCUAUUUCACUCUAUUAAAUCUUGCAACUGCACUCUUCUGGUCCAUGUUUGUUACAGCUCGAGCUGAGCUUUCACUCACCGUCCACCACUGCUGUUUGCUGCCGUCGCAGACCUGCCGCUGACUCCCAUCCCUCCGGAUCCGGCAGGGUGUCCACUGUGCUUCUGAUCCAGCGAGGCGCCCAUUGCUGCUCCUGAUUGGGCUAAAGGCUUGCCGUUGUUCCUGCACGGCUAAGUGCCCGGGUUCGUCCUAAUCAAGCUAAACAGUAGUCACUGGGUUCCACGGUUCUCUUCCGUGACCCACGGCUUCUGACAGAGCUAUAACACUCACCACAUGGCCCAAGAUUCCAUUCCUUGGAAUCUGUGAGGCCAAGAACCCCAGGUUAGAGAACCUGAGGCUUGCCACCAUCUUAGAAGCGGCUUGCCACCAUCUUGGAAGUGGCUCGCCACCAUUUUGGCAACCAGGAAGGGACCUCCAAAGCGGGAGAAAGCAUUUAUGGUGAGGAGAAAAGCAGCUGGUAUCACACUCUACCCAAGUCCCAAAAGCAGGUUCACAUAACUCCUGUCUUCAUUAUCUGAUAUCCGUAUGAAGAAUGUAAGAUAGAAAAAAACAUUAGCAUUUGAGAGGAUUGAAAGAGAAGCAUUCUCAGCAGAGCCAAGAUUCACUUAGAACAAAAGGGUAUUUAAUGUGUAUAGGAAAUUGUACAAAGUGAUGGUGCAGAUGUUAUGUUUCAAAAACCACAUUCCCACGUGGGAGCUAUAAAAUCUGUACAAAAAGAAAAAAAAAAGCACAUACAUCUGUAAAAUCUGUUUCAACGCAUUGGAGAGUUAUGAAAGCUACAUGGCCUUGAAGGGGAAGGGAAGCACAUUCCCAGAGAGAAGAAAAGCCCAUGGAUGUCAAACCAGUGUUCUAGGUUCUCCACAUUACAGUAUUUGUCAAUCCCAAAGCUAUGGAGGAAAGGAUGGGAAGCUGAACAGAUAUACUGAAAAGUUUAUAGUGCUUGACAAAUAAAAACUGAAGGUAAGGAUCCACCAAGGAUGAUGGUCUCUGGUAAUUAACAUAUACUUUCAAUUGUGCAUGACGGUAUGAACCCUAGGGGCCAGCUGAACUGGGUAUAGAUCAAUAAAUACAAGAAGUAAAGGCAAGAUUAAAAUCUGGUGAUAUACCCUCCAACUAAAUGGUAGACUCAAACAAAACAACAAGUUGUGGAAUAAAAUAUUACUAUUUAGGGAAUAAAUCUAUAUUAAUAGUUUUUCAUACAAAAUAUCUGCCAUUUGGUUUUUAAAAUUAAAUAAAAGAAGAUAAGAAUUGAUCAAAAACAAUGCAAAAAUUUUGGCAAUAUAAACAUAUCUAUAGAGAAUUCAUAUAUUGAAAUUAUUUUUAUAGGCCUUUAAAUAACUAUAUGUGUGUGCAAGAAAGUAAUAUGAACAUGGUGAGUUUUGAAAGAGAAAUAAAAGCUUUAAAGAGAACAUAAUGGAAAUUAUCCAUUGAAAAAUAAAACAAGUGAGCUGGUUUCAACAUAUUUGACAGAAUUAAAAAGAGUUAUAAACUUGGCAAUAGAGUGAGUGAAAAUCUCCAGAUAAAGGAUAGAAAUAGAAGAAAAAAAUAUACAAGAUACACGGAAGAUAGUGAAGGGUUUAAAAUAUAAGUAAUUGAAAUUGCAAAAAGAAAAAAGAAUAAAUGGAGCUGAAGCACUAUAAGGAGAAAAUGGCAACGACUCUCAAAACUGGUGAAAAAUGUUAAGUCACAGUUUUCACAAGCAAUUACAAUACAAA